UACGUAGGUGGCAAGCGUUGUCCGGAUUUAUUGGGUUUAAAGGGUGCGUAGGCGGCCCUGUAAGUCAGUGCUGAAAUAUCCCAGCUUAACUGGGAGGGUGGCAUUGAUACUGCGGGGCUAGAGUACAGAUGAGGUAGGCGGAAUUGACGGUGUAGCGGUGAAAUGCUUAGAUAUCGUCAAGAACACCUAUAGCGAAGGCAGCUUACUAGGCUGUAACUGACGCUGAGGCACGAAAGUGUGGGGAGUCAAACAGGG
rnacentral:rRNA from 1 species